rnacentral:rRNA from 1 species
ACGGGAGGCAGCAGUGAGGAAUAUUGGUCAAUGGACGAGAGUCUGAACCAGCCAAGUAGCGUGAGGGAUGACGGCCCUAUGGGUUGUAAACCUCUUUUGUCAGGGAAUAAAGUGGCGGACGUGUCCGCCUUUGCAUGUACCUGAAGAAUAAGGACCGGCUAAUUCCGUGCCAGCAGCCGCGGUAAUACGGAAGGUCCGGGCGUUAUCCGGAUUUAUUGGGUUUAAAGGGAGCGCAGGCUGUCUUUUAAGCAUGCUGUGAAAUGUAGUGGCUCAACCUCUGCACUGCAGCGUGAACUGGAAGACUUGAGUACGCGGGAAGUUGGCGGAAUUCGUCGUGUAGCGGUGAAAUGCUUAGAUAUGACGAAGAACUCCGAUUGCGAAGGCAGCUGACUGUAGCGCCACUGACGCUAAAGCUCGAAAGUGCGGGUAUCGAACAGGAUUAGAUACCCUGGUA